rnacentral:rRNA from 1 species
AUUGAACGCUGGCGGCAUGCUUUACACAUGCAAGUCGAGCGGCAGCGCGGGGGCAACCCUGGCGGCGAGCGGCGAACGGGUGAGUAAUGCAUCGGAACGUGUCCCGUAGUGGGGGAUAACCCGGCGAAAGCCGGGCUAAUACCGCAUAUGCUCUACGGAGGAAAGCGGGGGACCGCAAGGCCUCGCGCUAUGGGAGCGGCCGAUGUCCGAUUAGCUAGUUGGUGGGGUAAUGGCUUACCAAGGCGACGAUCGGUAGCUGGUCUGGGAGGAUGAUCAGCCACACUGGGACUGAGACACGGCCCAGACUCCUACGGGAGGCAGCAGUGGGGAAUUUUGGACAAUGGGGGCAACCCUGAUCCAGCCAUGCCGCGUGCGGGAAGAAGGCCUUCGGGUUGUAAACCGCUUUUAGCCGGGAAGAAAAGGCCAGGCCUAAUACGUCUGGUUCUUGACGGUACCGACGGAAUAAGCACCGGCUAACUACGUGCCAGCCGCCGCCGUAAAAC